CCAUGCAAGUCGAACGGUGAAGCCAAGCUUGCUUGGUGGAUCAGUGGCGAACGGGUGAGUAACACGUGAGCAACCUGCCCUGGACUCUGGGAUAAGCGCUGGAAACGGCGUCUAAUACUGGAUAUGAGACGUGAUCGCAUGGUCGUGUUUGGAAAGAUUUUUCGGUCUGGGAUGGGCUCGCGGCCUAUCAGCUUGUUGGUGAGGUAAUGGCUCACCAAGGCGUCGACGGGUAGCCGGCCUGAGAGGGUGACCGGCCACACUGGGACUGAGACACGGCCCAGACUCCUACGGGAGGCAGCAGUGGGGAAUAUUGCACAAUGGGCGAAAGCCUGAUGCAGCAACGCCGCGUGAGGGAUGACGGCCUUCGGGUUGUAAACCUCUUUUAGCAGGGAAGAAGCGAAAGUGACGGUACCUGCAGAAAAAGCGCCGGCUAACUACGUGCCAGCAGCCGCGGUAAUACGUAGGGCGCAAGCGUUAUCCGGAAUUAUUGGGCGUAAAGAGCUCGUAGGCGGUUUGUCGCGUCUGCUGUGAAAUCCCGAGGCUCAACCUCGGGCCUGCAGUGGGUACGGGCAGACUAGAGUGCGGUAGGGGAGAUUGGAAUUCCUGGUGUAGCGGUGGAAUGCGCAGAUAUCAGGAGGAACACCGAUGGCGAAGGCAGAUCUCUGGGCCGUAACUGACGCUGAGGAGCGAAAGGGUGGGGAGCAAACAGGCUUAGAUACCCUGGUAGUCCACCCCGUAAACGUUGGGAACUAGUUGUGGGGACCAUUCCACGGUUUCCGUGACGCAGCUAACGCAUUAAGUUCCCCGCCUGGGGAGUACGGCCGCAAGGCUAAAACUCAAAGGAAUUGACGGGGACCCGCACAAGCGGCGGAGCAUGCGGAUUAAUUCGAUGCAACGCGAAGAACCUUACCAAGGCUUGACAUAUACGAGAACGGGCCAGAAAUGGUCAACUCUUUGGGACACUCGUAAACAGGUGGUGCAUGGUUGUCGUCAGCUCGUGUCGUGAGAUGUUGGGUUAAGUCCCGCAACGAGCGCAACCCUCGUUCUAUGUUGCCAGCACGUAAUGGUGGGAACUCAUGGGAUACUGCCGGGGUCAACUCGGAGGAAGGUGGGGAUGACGUCAAAUCAUCAUGCCCCUUAUGUCUUGGGCUUCACGCAUGCUACAAUGGCCGGUACAAAGGGCUGCAAUACCGUGAGGUGGAGCGAAUCCCAAAAAGCCGGUCCCAGUUCGGAUUGAGGUCUGCAACUCGACCUCAUGAAGUCGGAGUCGCUAGUAAUCGCAGAUCAGCAACGCUGCGGUGAAUACGUUCCCGGGUCUUGUACACACCGCCCGUCAAGUCAUGAAAGUCGGUAACACCUGAAGCCGGUGGCCCAACCCUUGUGGAGGGAGCCGU
rnacentral:rRNA from 1 species